rnacentral:rRNA from 1 species
CUCCAGACUCCUACGGGAGGCAGCAGUGGGGAAUAUUGCACAAUGGGGGAAACCCUGAUGCAGCGACGCCGCGUGAAGGAAGAAGUAUUUCGGUAUGUAAACUUCUAUCAGCAGGGAAGAAAAUGACGGUACCUGACUAAGAAGCCCCGGCUAACUACGUGCCAGCAGCCGCGGUAAUACGUAGGGGGCAAGCGUUAUCCGGAUUUACUGGGUGUAAAGGGAGCGUAGGCGGCGUGGCAAGUCAGAGGUAAAAGCCCGGGGCUCAACCCCGGACGGCCGUUGAAACUGGUUUUCUAGAGUUGGAGAGAAGUAUGCGGAAUUCGUGGUGUAGCGGUGAAAUGCAUAGAUAUCACGAAGAACUCCGAUUGCGAAGGCAGCAUACCGGCUCCAUACUGACGCUGAGGCACGAAAGCGUGGGGAUCGAACAGGAUUAGAUACCCUAGUA